GAUGAACGCUAGCGGCAGGCUUAAUACAUGCAAGUCGUGGGGCAGCAUGAAUGUAGCAAUACAUUUGAUGGCGACCGGCAAACGGGUGCGGAACACGUACACAACCUUCCUAUAAGUGGGGAAUAGCCCAGAGAAAUUUGGAUUAAUACCCCGUAACAUAACGAUGUGGCAUCACAUUGUUAUUAUAGCUUCGGCGCUUAUUAAUGGGUGUGCAGCUGAUUAGAUAGUUGGCGGGGUAACGGCCCACCAAGUCUACGAUCAGUAGCUGAUGUGAGAGCAUGAUCAGCCACACGGGCACUGAGACACGGGCCCGACUCCUACGGGAGGCAGCAGUAAGGAAUAUUGGUCAAUGGACGCAAGUCUGAACCAGCCAUGCCGCGUGAAGGAUUAAGGUCCUCUGGAUUGUAAACUUCUUUUAUCUGGGACGAAAAAAGGCUUUUCUAAGUCACUUGACGGUACCAGAUGGAUAAGCACCGGCUAACUCCGUGCCAGCCGCCGCCGUAAAAC
rnacentral:rRNA from 1 species